UGAGGACAGGCCAGAGACAGCUAGAAACAAAAGUGGGGGAAAUAGGGCUGGAAAAUGGAGUCAAGGACAGGUGACAAAUUUCCUGGACAUGCAAAAAUUCUGGCUGCUUAAAGCCUUCUUGGCAUACACUGCCGGAGAACAGCAUCAUCACCCUGCCAGCAGUUAGAAUUGAGGCACUCGAGGUACUCACCCUGAAUGGCUGGUCUGGGAUGAAUGGAAAGUAAGGGAUUGCUGACUGUUCUUCACCUCUUUCCCCAGAUAUACAAGAAUUUCUGAGUAGCUGCCGGUCUGUGAACACAGCUUUGAGUUCAAUUGCCACGUCGGCGGGAGGGUCUUCAGAGUCACCACAGGUCAAGCUGAUGGCAAAGCUGAACAGAAAAUUACCUCGUUAAUCAGGGUUGGCCAUGACAACACUUGUCAAUGACCCAGGCCCCCAUACUUGCUCCUUCUUCUCACGGUGUGUUUGCUUUUAAUGGGCCACUUUUUACACAGGGAAUUGGGCUACGUAUGGAGAAGGAGGAUUACAAUCAAGCCAGGCGUUUUGAUACCUAAAGGAGGCUUUGCAAAAGGACUGAUAUUAGGGACGUCAGAUACUUCAAACCACCCACACAUCUGUACCUUAAUCCAUUUCAGAAUUCUCAGAAGCAGCCCCAGAAAUUGACCAGGGGAAUAAUAUCUUGUAAAGUCUGCUUGCCAUUUACAUUGACAGAUCUUGCUCUAAGCACCAUGUUUAAAAACCCUUAGAAAAAAAUCCUUUGGCCUCCCUAAGGGUCAAAGAGAAAAUGAUGUGGGCCUAUAUUUAUAAUCUCUGAUAUAAAUAGCUGUCUGGACAAA